rnacentral:lncRNA from 1 species
GCAAUCUGACCCUGCUCUUCAGAAACUGCUUAGUCAAAGCUUGUCUCCCAGCCUGGUCAGCUGCUUUCAGGUCAUUUUUUUUUUUUUUUUUUUUUUUUUAGUCUUCUACACCAACAGUCUGUGCUGAUUCAGGCUCUGUAUGUCCUAAACAGGAUCUCCAUUUAGUGGCACCACUCUCAACCUAGUAAUUCAAGCCAAAAAGCUGGGAGCCAGCUGUUACAUAUCCCCUGACAUGGAACUUGCCCAGUUUUACCAGACAAGGCUUGUGAGAAGCAUGAUUCAAAUUCUAUCUACAGAAGUUCAAGGGGCAAAAUCCUCCAUCUUACCCUGUUCUGGCGUCUAGACUGUGGUCCCCAAACCUUGUCUCAGCCUCUGUGGGCCUCACGCUCCCUGUCACAGAAACACUUUUGGUAAGGCCGCGGUAAUGAGGGUCCAGUGGCAGUAUAGCCACACAGCUGCUUGGCUGUGUUUCCUGCAGCCUAACCUCUUUUGGUUCCUGCCAUUUAUUCCUAAGUCUGGGCUUCUAGCCUUCCC